rnacentral:rRNA from 1 species
ACAAGCGGUGGAGCAUGUGGUUUAAUUCGAAGAUACGCGAAGAACCUUACCUGGCCUUGACAUUGAUAGAAUCUGGUAGAGAUACUGGAGUGCUAGCUUGCUAGAACUUGAAAACAGGUGCUGCACGGCUGUCGUCAGCUCGUGUCGCGAGAUGUUGGGUUAAGUCCCGCAACGAGCGCAACCCUCGUCGUUAGUUGCUAACAGUUAGGCUGAGAACUCUAACGAGACUGCCUUCGUAAGGAGGAGGAAGGUGGGGAUGACGUCAAGUCAUCAUGGCCCUUACGGCCUGGGCUACACACGUGCUACAAUGGUCGGUACAAAGGGUUGCCAAGCCGCGAGGUGGAGCUAAUCCCAUAAAACCGAUCGUAGUCCGGAUCGCAGUCUGCAACUCGACUGCGUGAAGUCGGAAUCGCUAGUAAUCGUGAAUCAGAAUGUCACGGUGAAUACGUUCCCGGGCCUU